rnacentral:rRNA from 1 species
GGUUAAGCGACUAAGCGUACACGGUGGAUGCCCUGGCAGUCAGAGGCGAUGAAGGACGUGCUAAUCUGCGAUAAGCGUCGGUGAGGUGAUAUGAACCGUUAUAACCGGCGAUUUCCGAAUGGGGAAACCCAGUGUGUUUCGACACACUAUCAUUAACUGAAUCCAUAGGUUAAUGAGGCGAACCGGGGGAACUGAAACAUCUAAGUACCCCGAGGAAAAGAAAUCAACCGAGAUUCCCCCAGUAGCGGCGAGCGAACGGGGAGGAGCCCAGAGCCUGAAUCAGUGUGUGUGUUAGUGGAAGCGUCUGGAAAGGCGUGCGAUACAGGGUGACAGCCCCGUACACAAAAAUGCACAUAUUGUGAGCUCGAUGAGUAGGGCGGGACACGUGGUAUCCUGUCUGAAUAUGGGGGGACCAUCCUCCAAGGCUAAAUACUCCUGACUGACCGAUAGUGAACCAGUACCGUGAGGGAAAGGCGAAAAGAACCCCGGCGAGGGGAGUGAAAAAGAACCUGAAACCGUGUACGUACAAGCAGUGGGAGCCUCUUAAUGGGGUGACUGCGUACCUUUUGUAUAAUGGGUCAGCGACUUAUAUUCUGUAGCAAGGUUAACCGAAUAGGGGAGCCGAAGGGAAACCGAGUCUUAACUGGGCGUUAAGUUGCAGGGUAUAGACCCGAAACCCGGUGAUCUAGCCAUGGGCAGGUUGAAGGUUGGGUAACACUAACUGGAGGACCGAACCGACUAAUGUUGAAAAAUUAGCGGAUGACUUGUGGCUGGGGGUGAAAGGCCAAUCAAACCGGGAGAUAGCUGGUUCUCCCCGAAAGCUAUUUAGGUAGCGCCUCGUGAAUUCAUCUCCGGGGGUAGAGCACUGUUUCGGCAAGGGGGUCAUCCCGACUUACCAACCCGAUGCAAACUGCGAAUACCGGAGAAUGUUAUCACGGGAGACACACGGCGGGUGCUAACGUCCGUCGUGAAGAGGGAAACAACCCAGACCGCCAGCUAAGGUCCCAAAGUCAUGGUUAAGUGGGAAACGAUGUGGGAAGGCCCAGACAGCCAGGAUGUUGGCUUAGAAGCAGCCAUCAUUUAAAGAAAGCGUAAUAGCUCACUGGUCGAGUCGGCCUGCGCGGAAGAUGUAACGGGGCUAAACCAUGCACCGAAGCUGCGGCAGCGACACUAUGUGUUGUUGGGUAGGGGAGCGUUCUGUAAGCCUGUGAAGGUGGCCUGUGAGGGUUGCUGGAGGUAUCAGAAGUGCGAAUGCUGACAUAAGUAACGAUAAAGCGGGUGAAAAGCCCGCUCGCCGGAAGACCAAGGGUUCCUGUCCAACGUUAAUCGGGGCAGGGUGAGUCGACCCCUAAGGCGAGGCCGAAAGGCGUAGUCGAUGGGAAACAGGUUAAUAUUCCUGUACUUGGUGUUACUGCGAAGGGGGGACGGAGAAGGCUAUGUUGGCCGGGCGACGGUUGUCCCGGUUUAAGCGUGUAGGCUGGUUUUCCAGGCAAAUCCGGAAAACCAAGGCUGAGGCGUGAUGACGAGGCACUACGGUGCUGAAGUGACAAAUGCCCUGCUUCCAGGAAAAGCCUCUAAGCAUCAGGUAACAUCAAAUCGUACCCCAAACCGACACAGGUGGUCAGGUAGAGAAUACCAAGGCGCUUGAGAGAACUCGGGUGAAGGAACUAGGCAAAAUGGUGCCGUAACUUCGGGAGAAGGCACGCUGAUAUGUAGGUGAAGCGACUUGCUCGUGGAGCUGAAAUCAGUCGAAGAUACCAGCUGGCUGCAACUGUUUAUUAAAAACACAGCACUGUGCAAACACGAAAGUGGACGUAUACGGUGUGACGCCUGCCCGGUGCCGGAAGGUUAAUUGAUGGGGUUAGCGGUAACGCGAAGCUCUUGAUCGAAGCCCCGGUAAACGGCGGCCGUAACUAUAACGGUCCUAAGGUAGCGAAAUUCCUUGUCGGGUAAGUUCCGACCUGCACGAAUGGCGUAAUGAUGGCCAGGCUGUCUCCACCCGAGACUCAGUGAAAUUGAACUCGCUGUGAAGAUGCAGUGUACCCGCGGCAAGACGGAAAGACCCCGUGAACCUUUACUAUAGCUUGACACUGAACAUUGAGCCUUGAUGUGUAGGAUAGGUGGGAGGCUUUGAAGUGUGGACGCCAGUCUGCAUGGAGCCGACCUUGAAAUACCACCCUUUAAUGUUUGAUGUUCUAACGUUGGCCCGUAAUCCGGGUUGCGGACAGUGUCUGGUGGGUAGUUUGACUGGGGCGGUCUCCUCCUAAAGAGUAACGGAGGAGCACGAAGGUUGGCUAAUCCUGGUCGGACAUCAGGAGGUUAGUGCAAUGGCAUAAGCCAGCUUGACUGCGAGCGUGACGGCGCGAGCAGGUGCGAAAGCAGGUCAUAGUGAUCCGGUGGUUCUGAAUGGAAGGGCCAUCGCUCAACGGAUAAAAGGUACUCCGGGGAUAACAGGCUGAUACCGCCCAAGAGUUCAUAUCGACGGCGGUGUUUGGCACCUCGAUGUCGGCUCAUCACAUCCUGGGGCUGAAGUAGGUCCCAAGGGUAUGGCUGUUCGCCAUUUAAAGUGGUACGCGAGCUGGGUUUAGAACGUCGUGAGACAGUUCGGUCCCUAUCUGCCGUGGGCGCUGGAGAACUGAGGGGGGCUGCUCCUAGUACGAGAGGACCGGAGUGGACGCAUCACUGGUGUUCGGGUUGUCAUGCCAAUGGCACUGCCCGGUAGCUAAAUGCGGAAGAGAUAAGUGCUGAAAGCAUCUAAGCACGAAACUUGCCCCGAGAUGAGUUCUCCCUGACUCCUUGAGGGUCCUGAAG